rnacentral:rRNA from 1 species
AUGAACGCUAGCGACAGGCCUAACACAUGGCAAGUCGAGGGGCAGCACGAAUCAAGCUUGCUUGAUUUGGUGGCGACCGGCGCACGGGUGCGUAACAGGUGUGCAAUCUGUCCAUAAUCGGGGAAUAGCCCAGCGAAAGUUGGAUUAAUGCUCCAUGUGAGUUUUAGAGGCAUCUCUUUAACUUGAAACGUAAGGAUUAUGGGUGAGCACGCUUCUGAUUAGGUAGUUGGUGAGGUAACGGCUCACCAAGCCGACGAUCAGUAGGGGUUCUGAGAGGAAGGUCCCCCACAUUGGAACUGAGACACGGUCCAAACUCCUACGGGAGGCAGCAGUGAGGAAUAUUGGUCAAUGGUCUGACGACUGAACCAGCCAUGCCGCGUGAAGGUGACGGCCCUAUGGGUCUUAAACUUCUUUUGUAAGGGAGCAAUAAGUCUCACGUGUGGGAUGAUGAGAGUACCUUACGAAUAAGCAUCGGCUAACUCCGUG